UUUUAUUUGACGAAUAAUUCAGUUGUAUUACUAAAGCGGAGAGUGGAUAUGCAUGAAAGUCAGAUUGUAUUGAUACUCAGCAAAAACAAGGUAACUUAUCAUUACUAAUCAAUCCUUUUCUUUUACUGAAAGGCAAGUUGCUGUUGUGCUGGAGCUGAGAAGAGGUCUGCUGCCUGCAAUGGGUCCAUCUCUCUCAAGUUAUUGCAGUAUUAUAGCUCUCAAGGUUCAAAAAAAGUAUGGUGGAAGCUGUUGCCAAGGUUCCGACCAGAAAAGACAGCCAGUAUAAAAGGGUCCACGCCACUGAUCUCUACUACAGGGGAUGAACAGCACAUCGAGCGCCCUCGACUGAAGCCGGCCUUGUCCCGGAAGUUGGUGCUUGACAACUUUGCGGCAGCACUUUGUUGCACGGCCUGUGGAGACAAGGUUUCUUAGACAUGGCCGUGGCCCUCAAGGAAGAUGCCGAGGCCACAGGCAGUUCCUCCAGUGACCGUGAAAAGGUCCCCUGGGGCACAAGUCUGGUUUGGCACCCCCACCUUUCUCCUGCAGCUUUUCUGUCUACUUAGCUAACCAGCAAGUUUAUCCUUGCAAGUGUUUGGAGUCAAGAACAACUUUCACCAGGAAGAAGUGCAAGACGAGUGAUUGAAGAAAAUAAAGUUGCUUCUGUGAUCUAAGAACUUGAGGACUGAAAUGUUGCACCUUUUUGUAUAUAUGCUAUGCAGUGCAUUCAUAUCACAAAGUGCAAAGUGUUUUAUCUCUGCAGCCAUGUCAGUGUGUUGGCAAGACAAUUUUCUCAAUGGUGACCUGCUGCUUUGACUAUGAGCUGCCUUCAUGACAUUUGCAUUAAAGGAGAUGUACUAUCGUGGACAAAAGUACCCUGGAAGUGCGAGCGUUGACCAAAUUGCAUUUCUGCUCAAGACCGCUGAAAACAGUGGGUCACGUAUGCACAUUCCGAACGCAGAUGGUGGCACGGCUGAUCCCAGCAAAUAGCACACCAAUGAAAUUCGGUCGACUCUCGCACGUCCUGGGCAAUUUUGUGCCCGAUGGCACAUUCUUCGAAUGGAUAUGCUCUGCAAGAUGAAAUACGGGAAGCACCUGUACUUUAACGGAUAUAGUACAGAUUUAGUAUACGGAGUCUUUCGUUUUCUGAAUACGGCAAGCACCUGUUUUUUAACGGUUAUAGCACAGAUUCAGCAUACGGUGUGUUCCGUUUUCUGAAUACGAGAAGCACCGUACUUUAACGGUUAUAGUACAGAUUCAGAAUACAGAGUCUUCCGUUUUCUAGAUACAGAAGCACUCGUAUCUUGUAUUACGGUCUCUUUUUUUACAGUUGUCCGUUCUACGGAAAUGACCGUUCUUAAUUUACGGAAGAGUGUUCGGUCACAAAUUACCAGCAAAUUUUCUGUAAAGUAAGGCAAAUUUUUUUUACAGU